rnacentral:rRNA from 1 species
AUGACGAGGCAUACAGUUUGCAAAAGAACAUCCUCAAACCAUAUCCAUGGGAAACCAAUCACGAAUGCAAGAUCAAACAUUAAAUUGGAAGACCUUCCACAGGAUGUGCUCUGCACAAUUGUAUCAAAGUUGCCUCCUAAAGAGGUCUCAAGGGCUAGUGUUUUGUCAAGUAAUUGGAGAUAUAUCUGUGCUACUUGUUGCUAUAAAUUAUGUUUCACUGUUCCUGCUGGGUAUCCCCAUCGUAUUCUUGAAAGAAAAGAAUACUGCCAACGUAUGCAGGAAUUCAUCAAUAAUGUUAACGCGGUAGUAAGAAAUUGCCAUGGCAAGUUGAUUGAAGAAUUCAAUAUAAAAUUGCAGUUUGACAACAUGUUCGUUGAUCAUCUGAAUGAUUGGGUUAAUUUUGCGGUGUCAGCACAGAUAAGGAAGAUAGCUUUCUACUUAGAUCCAAAUAAACUGGGGCUUUGGGAUCCUGAUCAUUACGAAUUUCCAUUUCACCUCUUGGAUAGUGAAAGCAUAUAA